CAAGGAGUAGUUUAAGUAGAAUAUUAGCUUUGGGGGUUAAUGGUGAAAAGAAGUUUUCCUCCUUGA
rnacentral:tRNA from 1 species